GAUGAACGCUGGCGGCGUGCCUAAUACAUGCAAGUCGAGCGAACAGACGAGGAGCUUGCUCCUCUGACGUUAGCGGCGUACGGGUGAGUAACACGUGGAUAACCUACCUAUAAGACUGGGAUAACUUCGGGAAACCGGAGCUAAUACCGGAUAAUAUAUUGAACCGCAUGGUUCAAUAGUGAAAGACGGUUUUGCUGUCACUUAUAGAUGGAUCCGCGCCGCAUUAGCUAGUUGGUAAGGUAACGGCUUACCAAGGCAACGAUGCGUAGCCGACCUGAGAGGGUGAUCGGCCACACUGGAACUGAGACACGGUCCAGACUCCUACGGGAGGCAGCAGUAGGGAAUCUUCCGCAAUGGGCGAAAGCCUGACGGAGCAACGCCGCGUGAGUGAUGAAGGUCUUCGGAUCGUAAAACUCUGUUAUUAGGGAAGAACAAAUGUGUAAGUAACUAUGCACGUCUUGACGGUACCUAAUCAGAGAGCCACGGCUAACUACGUG
rnacentral:rRNA from 1 species